CGAACGGGUGAGUAACACGUGGAUAACCUACCUAUAAGACUGGGAUAACUUCGGGAAACCGGAGCUAAUACCGGAUAAUAUUUUGAACCGCAUGGUUCAAAAGUGAAAGACGGUCUUGCUGUCACUUAUAGAUGGAUCCGCGCUGCAUUAGCUAGUUGGUAAGGUAACGGCUUACCAAGGCAACGAUGCAUAGCCGACCUGAGAGGGUGAUCGGCCACACUGGAACUGAGACACGGUCCAG
rnacentral:rRNA from 1 species